rnacentral:rRNA from 1 species
CCUACGGGAGGCAGCAGUGAGGAAUAUUGGUCAAUGGCCGGAAGGCUGAACCAGCCAAGUCGCGUGAAGGACGAAGGCGCUAAGGAUUGUAAACUUCUUUUAUCAGGGAAUAAAGUCACGCACGUGAGGCUGUUUGCAGGUACUUGAUGAAAAAGCAUCGGCUAACUCCGUGCCAGCAGCCGCGGUAAUACGGAGGAUGCGAGCGUUAUCCGGAUUUAUUGGGGUUAAAGGGUGCGUAGGGCGUCUUUUAAGGCUGCGGUGAAAGUUCCGGGCUCAACCCGGGCCGUGCCGUGGAAACUGGAGGUCUUGAGUGGGCGGGAAGUAGGCGGAAUGCGUGGUGUAGCGGUGAAAUGCAUAGAUAUCACGCAGAACUCCGAUUGCGAAGGCAGCAUACCGGCGCCCAACUGACGCUGAGGCACGAAAGCGUGGGGAUCGAACAGGAUUAGAUACCCGAGUAGUC